AGGAAAACGGUCUUAUGUCUGAUGCUGUUCUCCAUUUUUCUCCAUAAUAUAUUACACACUGCUGCUGAAAGGACACACGUUUGAGAAGGCUGAUCAUGUGUACACAUAAGCUCCAAUGAGCUCAGUAGCUCUGGGUUCUGAUGCAAAGAUUGUGAAAAAUGUCUAAAGACAAUCACUGUAAAUGACUUAGACGUUUGCACAUUGCAUUUGCUGUUGUGAUUAAAUACAUAUGCGC